rnacentral:rRNA from 1 species
AUUGAACGCUGGCGGCAUGCCUUACACAUGCAAGUCGAACGGCAGCACGGGAGCAAUCCUGGUGGCGAGUGGCGAACGGGUGAGUAAUACAUCGGAACGUGCCCAGUAGUGGGGGAUAACCCGGCGAAAGCCGGACUAAUACCGCAUACGACCUACGGGUGAAAGCAGGGGAUCGCAAGACCUUGCGCUAUUGGAGCGGCCGAUGUCAGAUUAGCUUGUUGGNGGGGUAAAAGCCUACCAGGGCAACGAUCUGUAGCUGGUCUGAGAGGACGACCAGCCACACUGGGACUGAGACACGGCCCAGACUCCUACGGGAGGCAGCAGUGGGGAAUUUUGGACAAUGGGCGCAAGCCUGAUCCAGCCAUGCCGCGUGCGGGAAGAA